rnacentral:sRNA from 1 species
UAUCACUGGCUAGAGCGCGUCGAGACG